rnacentral:rRNA from 1 species
GAUGAACGCUGGCGGCGUGCCUAAUACAUGCAAGUCGAGCGAACGGACGAGAAGCUUGCUUUUCUGAUGUUAGCGGCGGACGGGUGAGUAACACGUGGAUAACCUACCUAUAAGACUGGGAUAACUUCGGGAAACCGGAGCUAAUACCGGAUAAUAUUUUGAACCGCAUGGUUCAAAAGUGAAAGACGGUCUUGCUGUCACUUAUAGAUGGAUCCGCGCUGCAUUAGCUAGUUGGUAAGGUAACGGCUUACCAAGGCAACGAUGCAUAGCCGACCUGAGAGGGUGAUCGGCCACACUGGAACUGAGACACGGUCCAGACUCCUACGGGAGGCAGCAGUAGGGAAUCUUCCGCAAUGGGCGAAAGCCUGACGGAGCAACGCCGCAUGAGUGAUGGAGGUCUUCGGAUCGUAAAACUCUGUUAUUAGGGAAGAACAUAUGUGUAAGUAACUGUGCACAUCUUGACGGUACCUAAUCAGAAAGCCACGGCUAACUACGUG